CAGUAGCCGCGGUAAUACGAAGGGGGCUAGCGUUGUUCGGAUUUACUGGGCGUAAAGGGCGCGUAGGCGGGCUGAUAAGUCAGGGGUGAAAUCCCAAGGCUCAACCUUGGAACUGCCUUUGAUACUGUUGGUCUUGAGUCCGGGAGAGGUGAGUGGAACUGCGAGUGUAGAGGUGAAAUUCGUAGAUAUUCGCAAGAACACCAGUGGCGAAGGCGGCUCACUGGCCCGGAACUGACGCUGAGGCGCGAAAGCGUGGGGAGCAAACAGGAUUAGAGACCCCUGUAGUCCCUGUCUCUUAUAC
rnacentral:rRNA from 1 species